rnacentral:rRNA from 1 species
CACGUAGGGUGCGAGCGUUGUCCGGAAUUAUUGGGCGUAAAGAGCUCGUAGGCGGUGUGUCGCGUCGGCCGUGAAAACUUGCAGCUUAACUGUGGGCGUGCGGUCGAUACGGGCAUCACUGGAGUUCGGCAGGGGAGACUGGAAUUCCUGGUGUAGCGGUGAAAUGCGCAGAUAUCAGGAGGAACACCGGUGGCGAAGGCGGCUCACUGGCCCGAUACUGACGCUGAGGCACGAAAGCGUGGGGAGCAAACAGG